CCCUGCGAACACGGCCGAGCCGCUGCUGCCUGAGCGCCCCGAGGGGUGCUGCCAAGGAAGCCCGCUGCACCUGCUUUGGGGCUCAGAGGCAGUAUUUCCUCUGUGCCUAGUGCUGCAAAUCACGGAGGAACCCUGACCAGCUGCGGCAAGAGGAGCGGCCCUGGCACAACAACGUAAUAGUAACUUGGCUGCCUGAGAGCACAGAGCUGACACUGUAGUUUGCCUCGAAUCACAGAACUGUGAUUUAUGGGGGAGCACAAUGUACUGUUCCUGUGGCCCAUCUUUUAGUUGUGACAUAAGACCUGUAUUUCUCCCUCACGGCAAUAUUUCUGGUUCUGCCUCCUGCGCCUGGUUGUGGAAGAAGACCUGCUGCAGACAACCUGCUGUGCCCAUUCAUCUUCCUUAGUGCUUCUGGAGACCCUUGCACAACAUCCUGCCACAAGUGUGAAAACACAAAACUCCUGUUCUUCUGUGUGACGGCCCUGGAAACCUGUAAGGAAACUAUUAAGACUUGCACAUAAGGAAAGUAACAGCUGGUCAACUGCUGGGAUUUUCCUAAGUCCCAUCACUCAGAGACAAAGGAAUAAAAUGUAGCUCUUAAAAAAAAAGCCAGCCCCCCAAAACAUGCUAAUACCUUUUUAAGAAUGAACAAGGGAUUAUAUAUAAAAAACAAUAAAAAGCUCAUCCACCCAAAUAUUGUAGUCUGAUAGUCUUGUAUCUAUUUCUCUUUACAAAGAUUGCCCUUAAAACAGCUAUACCUGCUGCCUAAUUCUCUGCUAAGAGAGGACAAAACAAGCCUUCCGUGAGGCCAAACUACAACCUGGGAAAGACAAGAGAUCUUCUAAAGCAGAAACAUUAAUCCUAUUUCAAUAUUCUGCAAUUUCCCAAGUUACAAACAAGUAUAACCUGUUCAUAAGUUGAGCUUUGUAAACAUCUCAAUUCUGUGAAAUCUUUACUAAGAUAAUUUUCCAAAGAAGGGCUUUCUUUGUGAUGGGAAUAGAAGUUUUGAGUUGUGUAACCCAUCAGUAUUUAAAAAUGGGACCAGAUGACAUGAACCUUCAUGCUGAUCGUAUUUCAAAUGUUCGGGAAUGGUCAUAACGUUUUGUUGGAAAACCUUUAUUUGUAUUUUCUCUUCUCAGCAUCAUUUUGCCAAAAAUCUUUCUCUAAGCCAAGUAAAACAGGAAAGGUUAUUAUAAAGAGAAUUAAUGGGAGGACAAACACAGCUGAAGCAGAUUAUAGAUGCAGAAAACAACAUGAGUGUUUCCAAAGAGCUUCUAACGUGGCUCUCUAAGGCCUGUGCCCUGUGGCCUUAGAGAAGUCCUUUUCUUUCCAAACACAAUAGCCAAUAAGAGCUGCUGUCUACAGCUGCCAUUAUUUUCUCUGGAUGCAUCAUGACUGUCAAAAUCAAGUCACGGAUCAUGUCCCAGAUUCCUAAAUUGCUUUGCACCCGAGGCCACCUUACCCAGGCACACCAAUCAGAAAUUAGGAGUCAUUGCACAUGUGUAGAAGCCUGUCACAAUCCUGAAGUUUCAGCAACGUUAGCAGCUCUGAGGUGCAGAGAGCCCAUUACCAUCCCACCUUCCUCCCACCUGCCCUGGGCAGAUGUCCCUGGGUGAGCUCAGCACACCUAUAUUAUAUGUUAGUGUAAAACCAGGCCAUGCAGCAGCCUGGUCUUUUGGGACAUUUUGAGCUUGGACAGCAUUUUUCUGUGUGAUAUUAGAAAAGUUAGUUUAUUAUUGAGCAACUGCAUCCAAAGGGUGAAAGAACCAUUACAUCACAGGUAACCAAUGCACGCCAUUUCCAGCUACAAUGUAUAUUAAUUGACCAGUGUUCUAACUUCUGUAUAAAAGCCAUUUGUAUUUUCUUCAUGACAUUUGUGCGCUAUUUCAUGUCUGUGUUUUGUUUUUUAAAGCUCUCUCCCCAGCAGAGAAUAACCUGCUGCUUGUAGCAAAGGCAGAAACUUGUAACGUGUUAGUGACAUUUCACACUCAUUAUUUCAGCAGUUGUAAGCACAUAAUCAAACCUUGUUAAUAAAUCACCAAAUAUUGUGAAAGCUUAAA